rnacentral:tRNA from 1 species
GCCUGGGGGGCUCAGUCGGUUGAGCGUCCGACUUUGGCUCAGGUCAUGAUCUCACGGUUCGUGGGUUCGAGCCCCGCAUCGGGCU